rnacentral:rRNA from 1 species
CCUACGGGUGGCAGCAGUGGGGAAUAUUGGGCAAUGGGCGCAAGCCUGACCCAGCAACGCCGCGUGAAGGAAGAAGGCUUUCGGGUUGUAAACUUCUUUUCUCAGGGACGAAGCAAGUGACGGUACCUGAGGAAUAAGCCACGGCUAACUACGUGCCAGCAGCCGCGGUAAUACGUAGGUGGCAAGCGUUAUCCGGAUUUACUGGGUGUAAAGGGCGUGUAGGCGGGACUGCAAGUCAGAUGUGAAAACCACGGGCUCAACCUGUGGCCUGCAUUUGAUACUGUAGUUCUUGAGUACUGGAGAGGCAGACGGAAUUCCUAGUGUAGCGGUGAAAUGCGUAGAUAUUAGGAGGAAUACUCAUUGCGAAGGCGACCUGCUAGAACAUAACUGACGCUGAUGCGCGAAAGCGUGGGGAGCAAACAGGAUUAGAUACCCCUGUAGUC